AACGUAGGACGCAAGCGUUAUCCGGAGUUACUGGGCGUAAAGCGCGGGCAGGCGGUCUUGCCAGUCUGAUGUGAAAUCUCUCCGCUCAACGGGGAGCAGCCAUUGGAAACUACAAGACUGGAGUCUGACAGAGGUCGGCGGAAUUCCGGGUGGAGUGGUGAAAGUGACGUAGAGAUCAGGAGGAACACCGGUGGCGAAGGCGGUUCUCUGGGCCUGUACUGACGCUGAGGAACGAAAGCGUGGGGAGCGAACAGG
rnacentral:rRNA from 1 species